rnacentral:rRNA from 1 species
GCCCUUAAGUUUGAUCCUGGCUCAGGAUGAACGCUAGCGGCAGGCUUAACACAUGCAAGUCGAGGGGUAACAGAGAGAAGCUUGCUUCUUUGCUGACGACCGGCGAACGGGUGCGUAACGCGUAUAGAGUCUGCCUUGUACAGGAGGAUAGCCUUUAGAAAUGAAGAUUAACACUCCAUAAUACUGAGAUGUGGCAUCACAAUUUAGUUAAACAUUUAUGGGUACAAGAUGACUAUGCGUCCUAUUAGCUAGAUGGUAAGGUAACGGCUUACCAUGGCGACGAUAGGUAGGGGGUCUGAGAGGAUUAUCCCCCACACUGGUACUGAGACACGGACCAGACUCCUACGGGAGGCAGCAGUGAGGAAUAUUGGUCAAUGGAGGCAACUCUGAACCAGCCAUGCCGCGUGCAGGAAGACUGCCCUAUGGGUUGUAAACUGCUUUUAUACAGGAAGAAACAGUCGUACGUGUACGGCCUUGACGGUACUGUAAGAAUAAGGACCGGCUAACUCCGUGCCAGCAGCCGCGGUAAUAAGGGCG